rnacentral:pre_miRNA from 2 species
UUCCACGGAUGAGCAAAGAAAGUGGUUUCUUGAGAUGAAAUCUACUCGUGGUGAAGAUAGUGUAAA